CUAUCCCAGACGGCUAAUCCCUUUGGUUAAUGAAUACCCAUAGCCUCAUCAUCUCUAGGAACAGGCGCCUAACCGGAGCCUGAGAGAAUGUUGCCAAAGCAACUUGGCGAAAGAUCCUUGUCUGCUCAUUGACUGCUUUGUGCUGAGAAUCAUCAAAAAAUGAUCUAAAUAACCACCAUAUUAGCUCCCUUAAGGAAGAAACAGUGAUAGUGACUUGCCCAGGAUCAUACACAGCCAACCAGUGUCAGAGCUAGGACUUGAAUUUAGUUCUUCUGACUACUAACAGUUUUUUCUACUAUGCCAAAUACUGUUCCUGCUUUCCUUUCACCUGUACUCACUGUCAUUCUCUGUGAGUCAAGGCAGCAGCUAUGGUGAGAUCAGAAACAAUGGCCUUCAUUGAAUAGGUAACAUUUGCCUACAACCUGCUUUGUCUCAGAUACUCUUCCACCAGCAAAGUGGGAAAAUAAUGACAAAUAAGCAGAGUAAGCCUUCUGUUUUUGAGUUUCUGUUUCUCUGCUUCAGUUCUGGGUCAGUUUUAAGACCCAAAACUUGGCGUGGGGAAGCAGGGACAUUUCUGAGAGCUUGCUCUGCAGCCAGCACUUUAUGAAAAUAGAAGUACAGGAUGAAAUUUUGAGCUCUUUAAGGAUGACAACACUGAUUGAUUAUCACUAGGAGCCGGUAAUUGCCUCCUGGUCUUAAAGUAGGAAACCUGCUGGGUAAAAAAAUAAAGACAAUGAAGGGAACAUUUUGUCUUAUAAAUUGAGCAACAGCAUUAUCUGGCAACCUGUUAAUGUCAGAGAUGAUCUCUACAAAAGUGAAGAUGAGCUUGACUGCACCCAAAAAGAAUAUUUUUUCCUAUAAAAUGGAAAUACAAAUUCAGGGUUCUGGGCAAAUUUUCUUGAGUUUAAAAACAGGGAAGCUGAGGCAAUAUUUAUUUACAGACUCCAAGUUGGAAGGAAUUAACAAUCCUGCCAGUUGCUCUAGAGGUGACAGGCACUUGCCUUUUCUCACUUUUCUUUUUCCCUUCUUCCCUCUCUCCUGUCUCUCCUUCUUCAUUCCUUCUUUCCUUCAUCAGUCAGGCUGAGUUUAAAUCCUAGUCCUACCAUGUUCUAGCUGUGAAGUCUUGAGCAGCUAACUCAACCUCCAUGUACCUGUUGCCUCAUCUAUAAAACAUGGACAGAUGGUUGUCUAUCUAGGGUUAUUAUGAGGGAGUUGACAUCCAUCAAGUAUUUAGGAUCUGCCACAUAGUCAGUGUUGGGUAGGAACACGUCUUCCCUAUUCCUGAUGUUUGUUUCCACAUGGAAGGACUUCUUCACUCAUUAUUUGAUCUAAAUUUUCAUUGACAAAUCACAGUAUCAUGCAUGGGCUCAUGAAUUUUGUAAUAUGUUUUUCAGUCGAAUUAUUUAUAUAGACAGGAACCCAACAAAAAUAUUUACCCAGGACCUUGUGCACUCUAGAAGUGGCCCUGGAGAAAAGUAUUUGCCUACAGAAAUAAACUGUUUCCUUCCUCUGCCUAUAUCAGUAACAAAGGUGCAGCUUUGGCCACCAUCUACCACUCCUUUGUCUCCCUGUUUGUUUAGAAGUUGAUCAGGAAAGAGGGACACCAUUUCCUCAGAUCCCUCAAAGUCCCAAAAAGCACUCAAUAAGCAUUAGCUGUUAUCAUUUUUCAAGCUUUCAGGUUGUGUUUUAUUUUCCAUUUUUCUCCUUUCCUUUCAUUCCAAAAAGUCUCCUUUCUUUAAUUCUAUAAGCUCUUCUUUGGUCCCUGAGAGAUUCCUAUUUGUUCAUUUUUGUUUGUUUUUUACAAUUAUUCCAGAGAUCUGGACGGUCUCUAGCACAGAAAAAAAAAAA
rnacentral:lncRNA from 1 species